GACAGAGGAUGCAAACGUUGCUCGGAAUUACUGGGCGUAAAGCGCAUGUAGGCGGUUCGGUAAGUCAGGUGUGAAAUCCCUGGACUCAAUUCAGGAACUGCAUUGGAUACUGUAAGGCUAGAGUAGAGGAGAGGUAGGCGGAAUUCCUGGUGUAGAGGUGAAAUUCGUAGAUAUCAGGAGGAACAACAGAGGCGAAGGCGGCUUACUGGACUCUAACUGACGCUGAGAUGCGACAGUGUGGGGAGCAAACAGG
rnacentral:rRNA from 1 species